rnacentral:misc_RNA from 1 species
GAUGAAGAACGUAGCGAAAUGCGAUAAGUAGUGUGAAUUGCAGAAUUCAGUGAAUCAUCGAAUCUUUGAACGCACAUUGCGCCCGCCAGUAUUCUGGCGGGCAUGCCUGUUCGAGCGUCAUUUCAACCCUCAGGCCCCCAGUGCCUGGUGUUGGGGAUCGGCCCAGCCUUCCUGUAAGGCCGCCGGCCCCGAAAUCUAGUGGCGGUCUCGCUGUAGUCCUCCUCUGCGUAGUAGCACAACCUCGCAGUUGGAACGCGGCGGUGGCCAUGCCGUUAAACACCCCACUUCUGAAAGUUGACCUCGGAUCAGGUAGGAAUACCCGCUGAACUUAAGCAUAUCAAUAAGCGGAGGA